UUGUGAGUGCCAUUACUUACAUCUUGCAUAAUGAAAUCGAUAUAAUAUAAUGUUUCUUUCAUUGGAUAAGGAAAUCCUAAAAACUUGUGUAGUAGAAAUAGGUUAGUAGAAAUAGGCCUAUCUGCCGUCAUAGUAAAUCGAUAUGCAGUAACUAUUUCAAUUGCCGUUGACACCAUUUACUAUUUUUCUGAAUCUUAAUUUGUAAUGCUGAUACAGACUUUACAUAAUGUAUUUAUUUUUUUAUAUUAAUAUUUCGUUUUUCAUAGUAUUGAAAUGGAUCUUCCCUGCCAUAGGCUGGCCAUUUUCAAAAAAAAAAUAAUUGUGCAUAUAUAUUACAUAUGAACGUAUUUAUUUUAGUGUAUUUUGACAUUUUUUAGGUGUGCUAAAUGGCUUGAAGUUAUUCAGUUACCAAGUUUAUUCAAGAAGAGUUAUGCACAUCACAACAAAAGCUACAGGGUAUGCAGUUUCCACUUUUCAUCCGGAAAUUAUACUAAUGGAAACUCAGAUUCUAGACUUCUCCAUGCUUGCCCAGACCAAAACCUUAGCUACUGCAAACGUGCAAGCCAAGGGUCUGAAACUCUCUCUUUCUCAGAAAAUAUAGACAUUGAUUUUGGAAAGAUGCUUUAUGUAUUUACAUAUUAUUUGUGUAAAUAAAAGAAAAGGAUCA